rnacentral:lncRNA from 1 species
GAGUGAAAUAACAAUAAACAGGUAGUUUACUUAUUUCUAACAAAGUAUUUACUAAUUUAUAUUUUUAAAGAUUUUAUUUACUUGAGAGAAAGAGAGUGAGAGAGAGUGCAUAGGCACACAAACAGCAGGAGGGAGGGGUAGAGAGAGAAGCAGACUCCCUGCUGAGAAGGGAGCUGGAUGAGGGACUCCAUCCCAGGAUCCUGAUAUCAUGGCCUGAGCUGAAGGCAGAAGCUUAACUGAAUGAGCCACCCAGGUGCCCUACUAAUCCAUCUUUAACUUUAUGCAAUAUAGUUACCAUGCAGUGAAAUUUGCAAACAUAAAUGAAUGUUCUUUCAAAAGUAACAAUAAUUAUUAUGAAAGGGUAAAAAGGUACAGUUUGACUCAGCUCUUCUUUGCUCAAAAAUUAGAGGCAUAAUAAAUAGUACAAGCCUCCCUAGAUGUCUCAAAAUAUCAAAUACUGUCUUCAUCAUUCUCAGUCAUCCGUAUUAUAUAGCAAGAUCAGUUCAUCUUAUUAUGAUACAUGUAAUGCUCUUGAGUAAGACUGUCUUAUUUUCACUUAUUAGUAAAAGUGAGCAAGAAAUGUUUUAUUUCUGCAAGAAUUAAUAUUGUUUAGCUUUUAUAUUAUGGUUUUGAAAUCACUAGUUUGCUAAUAUGUUGAUUUAGGUGUUCCAUGGUUCAGAGAAAUAAUUGUACCAAAAAGGAAAAAAGAAAAAAGGAGAAAAAAAAAGAAAAAGAAAAAAAAAACCCACUUGCAUUGAAUUAUGUCAUGUCACUUCUUGAGAAAUAAGAUUCUGAUUUUAUAAGUGUGUACAAGAAUAAAAACCACAAUCUUUCCAAAAUUCCUAUAGAUAAAUUAUUUUGAUGGGCAAACACAUUUAAAGGCCCAUUUUGCUUGAUUAGUUUUCUCCAGUCACAUGAGGUAAAACUCUUCUCAGAAAGUCUACUGAACAGAGAAUACAAAAUCAAUGGCAGUGACAAAACAUCUCAAAACUUCAAAUCACCAUCUCAUUUAAACAAACUAGUAUUUGUAUUAGUGUUUAACUCAACAUAAACUAUAUUGAAUGUAAAACUGCAGCAAUACAGGCUAAUCUAGAUACUGCAAAGCCAAAGCAGCUGAAUUUAAAGUUAGUGAUGAUAGGCAAAAUCUAAUGAUGAACCUGUGAAGGAAGAAGGGGUGAUGAGGAUUUUUUUAUUACGUGUUUGAAUUUUAAGCUUUAUAAAAAAUUCUUUUUUAUGCCUCUAGACUCAUUGUUCAAAUCUACUUUAACCUUUCUCCAUUUGCUGGAUAAGAGAAAGGCUGUUUACUACCUUCUAGAGAUAUUUCCAAUACUAUAUGGUAAUACAAUGCACCAGAAAGGAUCCAAAAGACUCUAUAUUCAUAAAAAUUGUACAAAAAUCAGUUUCUAUGUAUUGCUGGUAGUUAUCAAUUAUGACAUGGUUCCGGCAUCUACCUAACAUUUUUUUGACAAUAAUUUUUGGUUCCUUUAUUCAUUUGUUUCAGCAUUCAUUCACUAUUAGCUGAGCCCUGUUUCUGUGCUCUACACUGUUUCAGACACCGUUAACAGAGCAGUGUGCAACAGACAAAAUCCCUUAAGAAGUUAGCUGGAAAACCUGACUCUGAAGAAGUAAUUAAAAAUAUGUUUAGUAUAAAUUGUCACUGAGAAAUGCCAAAUGCUUUGGGAUGAUUUGACAUGGGAGUCUAACCCAGAAAGGCAGUUCAGGAACUACUUUGAGAAAAUGAUAUUUAAGUUGAGAUUUGAAUAAAAUGUGGAAGUUAGCAGGACUAAGGAGAAUGCAAGGAAGAGGAGCACCCUUAGGAUAAGAGGGAACAGCAUGUGCAAGAUCUAGGAUGUAAAAGAGGAACUCAAAAAAGGUUAAUGUAGAUGUGGAGAGAAUACUCUAUGUUUUGAAGCUCAGAAGACUGGUAGAAGUCAGAGCACGUGUGUAGGGUGCUUCAAGCUAUGUUAAUGAUUUUAAAUUUUAUCUGAAAUAUAGAGAAUAUCAUCAAAGGGAGUAAGAGUUAAAUGAUCACAUUUGUAUAUUUAAAGAAUCACUGACGGAGUCUCUGUGUUGAAGGGGAUCACACCCAGAUGUGCAGAGAACUACUAGAAGACAGUUUAGCUGAGAGAUGUGGUAGGUUGGGGAAAAGAGAAGCAAAGCAGUUUGAGAGCUACUAGGAGAUACGAUGAACAAAACUUGUUAACUGUGAGAAAAGAUGACCCCAUAUCUCUUUGUGGUGGUACCAUAUAUCACAGAGACACUUAUGACUGAAAAUAGUGUUGGUUGAUACACUUCCAAUAGUUGAAUGUGUGUGUGAGCAUGUCAUUUGUGCAUUUUAGAAUCAAAAUGUGCAAUCUAACUAGACUUAUUGAAAACUCAGCAAAAUCCAAAGUGUGAAUGAGCAAUUAGAUUGAGCAAAUAAAUAAAUAUAUUGUAGAUAUCAAGAAUCAAGUUUCUUCAAGAGCCUGGGUGGCUCAGUUGGUUAAGUGGCUGCCUUUGGAGCUUAGGUCAUGAUCCUAGCCUCAUGAGAUUGAGCCCUGCUUUGGGCUCUGUGCUGGGUGUGGAGCCUGCUUAAGAUUCUCUCUUAAGAGAAAUCUGUGCCUCUGUCCUUCCUACCCCUAAAAAAAUUUUUUUAUAUAUAAAUUUCGUCCUUAAAACUAUUUCAUUUUAACCUAACUUAAAAUAAUCAAAGAAGGAAAAGUGAUUAAUAUCAUGUUUGCUUUAGUUUAUUUUUAACUAUUGGGGAUAAAUACUGAAAUACUGAAAGAAAAGGAGUUAGGAUGAAAAGAAGGAAACCAUUUAAAAUCUUCAAAUAUUUGGAUAAUACUGUGAAUUUUCAGUUGUUAACCUCCAUUUAACAUGUGGAUAAACUGAAGCCUACAAGUUUAAUGGUCCCACCAGGGUCAUAUAGUUAACAUACUGGAAUGACUUUUGAAUCUAGGUCUGUUAGGCUCCAAAUUUUCCCACGAUACUGUAAUGAAUAAAGGAAUAAAGUGUGCUCAAUUUCUGAAGAUUCAUUAUUCCCUUAAAAAAAUCUUUUUGCCUAUUUGGUAAUCUGGCUUUUUCAGAGUUCAAAACAGUCCCUUCCUUAUAUUAAGUUUUUAGCUAAAAUAUAAAGUAUUUGUAAGCUUGUUUUGGAUAAGUGAGGAAAAAUAAUUUGCAUCUACAUAUUCUUUUCUUUUCAUUAAGCAACUGCAAAUGCCAACUAUGCUUCUGAAACAUAAAUAUGAAAUCUAAACAGCUGAUGGUUAUAAAAAUAAUUACAGGUUGCCAUUAGGAAGCAUACAAUCACACUUAAUUCUCCUUAGAACAAACAUAUUUUACACUAAAAUAUAUGUUUUAAAAUGUUAAAAACAGUAAAAAGAAGUCAUGAAUAACAGUACUUUGAGAGAAGUAUCUUCUAUCCAGGUAAUGCACUUUCCCCCCUUCUAUUUUCCAAUUUCCUCCAUUUUUUCCAGUAUGCUCCCUUUUACUAAUCCCGGCAUCAACACCAGAGGGAGAGCUUUAUUUAGUUUCUUUGGAAAGCCUUCUUGCUAUACAAGUGAGUAGGUUAAUAUCUUAGUCCAUAAAAAUGAUGAGUGUUUCUUUUGAAAUACAGACCAUAGUUCCAAAGAGUAUAACAGAGUCAAAGGCCCUGCAUCACAGAUGCAGACAGGAGUCUUGCUGAUAGCCUAAAAUUCCAUUUUCUAUCCUAGAAAUAAAAUAAAUUAAUUAAAUAUUGGAGGUAGGCUAAAAACAUAGACACCAGACUGGGAAGCCACAAAUUAUCUUAUUGGUGGUAAUGUUAGUUGCAGUAAUAAUGGUGAAAUUUUAUAGAGUACCUCCUGUGCCAGAUACUAUUUUAAGAGACUAACAUGAAUGCACUCAUUUAAUACUUAUAAUCCUAGGUCCUGAUAACCUUACGGACGAGGAAACUGAGGUAUAAUUUACUCAAAGUCACACUGUUGAGAUUCUACUUGUAGGGCAUAAAAGUCCCACUGUGGAUUUAUGAACCCUGGUAGUUUAUGAUAUACAUAAUUUUCUAACUGUAUCCUUUAGCUUAAAUCUAAAGAACCACAAACUAAACAUUGAAGCAUAGGUAAACUGAUCCAGUUUAUCACCUAAACCUUAAGGUGAACACUGUGAAAAGGAAUUAAAGAUCAUUACUGUUACUGGGCUGAAGGAAGAGUGUGUAUGCUUUCGGUAGCAUUAGCUUAGUGGUCUAAAAUGAAAAAAAUAUUAAGAAAUUAUUCUGUAUUGGGUUUUUAACUCUGGUUUUUAUGUUACAACUCUACAUAUUAGUGUGUGAAUGCAUAUAUACACAAUAAACAUUUCCUUAUUUUCAAAAUAUCUUAAGAUAAUUAAGGUAUUAGCAUUCCUAUCAAUGAAACAUAUUAAAUAAUAUGAGAAUAUGCUUAUGACAGUGUUAAAUGAAAAGCAAGUGUCAAGACUGAAUAUUCAAUAUAUUCCAAUUUUUCAAAAAUAUCUUCUAAAGUGAACAUAUAUAUUACUUAAGGAAACUUUUGUGAAAUAUGGCAUGCAGAAAACUGUGUACAAUCCUAAGUAUAGUUUGAAGAAUUCUCCUAAAGUAAAUACACCUAUUUAACCAAUAUCUAGAUUUAAAGGAAGAACACUGCCAGCAUAGUCUCAUGUUCCCUUUAAGGCUAUGCCUCCCAAUUCCUCUACAUAGCCACUAUCUGGACUUCUAACAAUCAAUGAUGAGUUUUGACUAUUUUGAGAUUGUAUAUAAAUGGAAUUAUAUGGUAUGUACUCUUUUGUAUAUGACUUGUUUUUGUUCAAUGUUGUGAGAUUCAUCCAUGUUUAUGCAAAUGACGUUUACUCAUUUUUAUUGCCGAGUAUUAUCCUAUUGUGUGUGCAUGUUUCAUAAUUUAUCCACUCUGUAGUUAGGGACACUUGAGUAGUUUCUAGUUUGGACUUACAACAUGUAUUAACGUAAAAAUGGAUUUGAGGGGUGCCUGGGUGGCUCAGUCAGUUAAGCAUCGGACUCUUGAUUUCGGCUCAGGUCAUGAUCUUGGAGUCCUGGGAUUGAGCCCCACAUUGGGCUUCAUGCUCAGUGGGGAGUCUAUUGAGAUUCUUUGCUCCUUCUGCAGUGCUCUGUGUACUCUGUGUCUCUCUAAAAUAAACAAAUAUUUUAAAAAAUGGACUUGAAAAC